AUGAAGAGAGGGGUUAGAGUGUACUUAUCUACACUUACGUUCGACACACCCCAACUGCAAUCGGAAUCUCCCACCUCCACCGCGCUGGAAAUCGCCUUCGGCGACAGUGGAGGGCCAAACCCUAUAAAACCAAACAUCAUCAUCUCCGUAUUAUACUCUUCUACAUGAAACCAGUGAUGUCUUCUACCAAUUCACAUCCUAAACCACAAAUCAACCUGACUCACGCAAAAGCCCUAAUUCCUAUUUCAAGAGGAAUCAAUGCCUUUUUCGAGAGGGCUUUGUUCCGCGGGGUUUCAUACUAUAUCAUGGAGGAAGUAAAUCGGAGAAGAAAAAUGGAAUUGCUUACCUGUCGGAGAAGUUACGGCGACUCUAGAAGUGGUGUUCCUCCAAGAAUCCAGAGACCCUUCCCUUUCUGGUGGUGUGCUUCUGUGAUUGUUGUUACCAUUUGUUUGUUGUGGAAACGAAUUCGUUCUGGAAACACAAAGCGAGGACCGACGAAUCAUUGUUGAUGCUGAAGCGUUGAAGAUGUGAAUUGAAGAUGAUGCGGUCGAAGCAUCAAGACUCCAGUUCUAGACUUCUUUUACGAAGAUCGAAGGUUUGGUUUGAAGGAUGAAGCUUUGAAGGACAAUACUCCUCUUUCUCUGAUUCGUCAAGGCUCACAUUCACCAAUGCCUUUGAACUCUUGUGCGAUGAAUCUCUGGCCGAUCAUCAGGAUGAUACAGAAGAAGAUUGAAGAAAUUCCGUGAAGAUAGAUAUUGGAUUGGAGCAGUUUUGAGGGAGAUUGAAGAGGGUGUAGGUAAAAUCUUGGAAAGGAUUGAAGAACUCCAACAGAAAAUUGUGGAGCAAGGAAGCAUGGAAUGAAGCAGAAGAAAAGUGAUUGAAGAAAUGGUGAUUGGAUAAAGUGAAGUUUGAAGAAAAAUGAAGAUUGAAAAACCAAUGAAGGUGGAAUCAAAAGGGUACUUACAGUUGAAGAUGAUAGCUGUGGUGAUGCCUCCUGAGCAAUUUCUACCCUUCUCUAAUAAAUUAAUCCAACUCUAAAUUGGUUGAUUAAGAUGAACCUCAAUAAGGUACUCCAGAAUAAAGGGUCUUCUUACUGAAGCGUGUAUCUAUCGUCGUCAGUGUCGGCAUGUUUUAAAUUUCCUUUGGUUUCUUCUUUCUCUUUGAAACCGUCUAGCAGCAAGCCUUGAUUAGCCUGGGAUUGGAUUGUUAUGAAGUGCCUCAAUCCAUACUUCAAGGCCGCAUAUGGUUAGGUGUUUGUAUUGAAUGAUGGUCAUGAGGGUUGACUAGGUUUAUGUGUUUGUAUUGUAACGAGAGUAAUGGAUAAUUGUUGUAAUGUGGGUAUUAUUGAUGAGGUGGAUACCUAUUAUGUUAAAUGGUCA